UACGGGGGGGGCAAGCGUUAUUCGGAAUUAUUGGGCGUAAAGGGCGCGUAGGCGGCCAUGCGUGUCUUCCGUGAAAUCCCUCGGCUUAACUGAGGACGUGCGGAAGAAACUGCAAGGCUCGAGUCCGGGAGAGGGGGGUGGAAUUCCCAGUGUAGCGGUGAAAUGCGUAGAUAUUGGGAGGAACACCGGUGGCGAAGGCGGCCCCCUGGACCGGUACUGACGCUGAGGCGCGAAAGCGUGGGGAGCAAACGGG
rnacentral:rRNA from 1 species